AUUGAACGCUGGCGGCAUGCCUUACACAUGCAAGUCGAACGGCAGCACGGGAGCAAUCCUGGUGGCGAGUGGCGAACGGGUGAGUAAUAUAUCGGAACGUGCCCAGUCGUGGGGAUAACGUAGCGAAAGCUACGCUAAUACCGCAUACGAUCUAAGGAUGAAAGCGGGGGGAUCGCAAGACCUCGCGCGAUUGGAGCGGCCGAUAUCAGAUUAGGUAGUUGGUGAGGUAAAGGCUCACCAAGCCAACGAUCUGUAGCUGGUCUGAGAGGACGACCAGCCACACUGGAACUGAGACACGGUCCAGACUCCUACGGGAGGCAGCAGUGGGAAUUUUGGACAAUGGACGACAAGUCUGAUCCA
rnacentral:rRNA from 1 species